UCCAAUCAAAAUCACACACGCUCUAGG
rnacentral:piRNA from 1 species